rnacentral:rRNA from 1 species
UACGUAGGCAGCGAGCGUUGUUCGGAGUUACUGGGCGUAAAGCGUGCGUAGGCGGUGGUCCAAGUCUGGUGUGAAAUCUCCCGGCUUAACUGGGAGGUGCGCCGGAAACUUGGCCGCUGGAGUACGGGAGAGGCAAGCGAAAUUCCAGGUGUAGCGGUGAAAUGACGUAGAUAUCUGGAGGAACACCCGUGGUGCAGACGGCUUGCUGGACCGUGACUGACGCUGAGGCACGAAAGCGUGGGUAGCAAACAGG